AGCGAAACGGGAAGAGCCCAAACCAACAAGCUUGCUUGUUGGGGUUGUAGGACACUCUAUACGGAGUUACAAAGGACGACAUUAGACGAAUCAUCUGGAAAGAUGAAUCAAAGAAGGUAAUAAUCCUGUAGUCGAAAAUGUUGUCUCUCUUGAGUGGAUCCUGAGUACGACGGAGCACGUGAAAUUCCGUCGGAAUCUGGGAGGACCAUCUCCUAAGGCUAAAUACUCUCUAGUGACCGAUAGUGAACCAGUACCGUGAGGGAAAGGUGAAAAGCACCCCGGAAGGGGAG
rnacentral:rRNA from 1 species